GAAUUUAAAAUCUAGACAGAUGCCUUAAGAGGCUAACACAGAAGGGUAAAUAAAGCAAGUCUCCAUAAAACCCAGAGAAGAGAUGGCAAAACUCCUCUUUGGAUCCUGUCUGGAGUCAGCU